GCUUGGGGGUCAAACUCAACCUUGGAAAAACACCAUCCAGGUAGACAGGUUGCCUUUGCUCCUCCUAGGGGCAAUGAAGCCUUUCCCUCUGGAAUCAAAACAGUUCAGAAAAUAAAAAUGGCAAGACAUAGAAGUAGUAAUUCCCCAAUGCAGCGUCCGGUUAGGAGAAGAAGGAGGAGAAGGAGGAGAAGGAGAGGGAGAAGGAAGAGAAAAGUAGCAGCAACAGGUGUUGUAACACGCACUACACGCUACCUUAGGAAACCAAGAUAAGACUCCGAUGAAUUCCUUUUCUUAUCUGUGGGAGCUAGUAAUAAA